rnacentral:rRNA from 1 species
CCUACGGGAGGCUGCAGUAGGGAAUCUUCCACAAUGGACGCAAGUCUGAUGGAGCAACGCCGCGUGAGUGAAGAAGGUCUUCGGAUCGUAAAACUCUGUUUAGAGAGAUGCGGUAUCUAACCAGCAAGUCACGGCUAACUACGUGCCAGCAGCCGCGGUAAUACGUAGGUGGCAAGCGUUGUCCGGAUUUAUUGGGCGUAAAGGGAACGCAGGCGGUCUUUUAAGUCUGAUGUGAAAGCCUUCGGCUUAACCGGAGUAGUGCAUUGGAAACUGGAAGACUUGAGUGCAGAAGAGGAGAGUGGAACUCCAUGUGUAGCGGUGAAAUGCGUAGAUAUAUGGAAGAACACCAGUGGCGAAAGCGGCUCUCUGGUCUGUACUGACGCUGAGGUUCGAAAGCGUGGGUAGCAAACAGGAUUAGAUACCCUUGUAGUC